GCGCAGGGCUGAUCAGAGUCGCUGGGCUGAAUGCACAUGCUCCGGGCGCACGCCGAUCCCGAGCAAUCGGGCCGUCUGCCCCUGCAACCAAGGAAUUGCAGUGAUCAGCCGGGCGACCAACGGCGGCUUCAAGUCCUCGCCCGAAAGCGCCCGGUUGAUGAUGUUGUCCUGAAUGACCGUUUGCAUGGUUUGCGUCAUUCGCGCGGGGAACAAGCGGCGGCGUUGAACCUGUUCCAGGUCUUCGAG
rnacentral:misc_RNA from 1 species